GUUUUCUAUUUCUUCCUGUUCCAGUUUUGGUAGUUUGUGGCUUUCCAGGAAUGUGUCCAUUUCUUCUAGAUUGCCUAAUUUAUUGGCGUAUAGCUGUUCAUAAUAUGUUUUUAAAAUCGUUUGUAUUUCCUUGGUGUUGGUAGUGAUCUUUUCUUUCUCAUUCAUGAUUUUAGGGAGAAUAUUUUAGAGAUAACAGCAAACAUGCUUUGAUCAUCUAUGAUGACUUAUCCAAACAGGCUGUUGCUUAUCGUCAGAUGUCUCUGCUGCUCCUCCGGGCCCCUGGUCGUGAGGCCUAUCCUGAUGAUGUGUUUUACCUACACUCCCGUCUGCUAGAGAGCAGCCAAAAUGAACAAUUCUUUUGGUGGUGGCUCCUUGACUGCUUUAGCAGUCAGAAACGCAAGCUGGUGAUGUGUCUGCUUACAUUCCAACAAAUGUCAUUUCCAUCACUGAUGGACAGGUGGCAGGUACCAUGAAGCUGGGAUUGGCUCAGUAUCGUGAAGUUGCUGCUUUUGCCCAGUUCAGUUCUGACCUCGAUGGUGUCAACAACCCUUGAGUCACGGCGUGCGACUGACUGGGUUGCUGAAGCAAGGACAGUGUUCUCCCAUGGCUGUUGAAGAACAAGUGGCUGUUAUUUAUGCUGGUGUCAGAGGAUAUCUUGAUAAAUUGGAGCCCAGCAAGAUCACAAAGUUUGAGCAUGAUUUUUUGGCUCAUGUUAUCACCAAGCCCUCUUAGGCAAUAUAAGGACCGAUGGAAAGAUCUCAGAACAAUCAGAUGCUAAGCUGAAAGAGAUUGUAACACAAACUUCUUGGCUGGAUUUGAAGCUUAAACUCCUCUGGAUUCACAUCAAAUUCCAGUUUGGUUUUGUCAUCGUUUAUUCUAGUAAUCAGUUCCAUUUGUAAAAGGAUUACUCUCAUGCUCCAGAUGUACAGAAAUUACCUUAAAAAUAAAGGUUCCAUAUUGGUUGGUGGUAAAAAAAAAAUAUGGGGGAAAAACCCUCAGCCAUAUGGCCCAUGGUGUCAAGAGGUGUGUAUGUCUUAUAAGACAGGAUUCCAAGUUG
rnacentral:lncRNA from 1 species